AUUGUAAAUAUGGCAACGCCAAGUGAAGCUGUGUAUAUAAUGCGCCUCUCUUCUUCUCUAAGUAUGUAGUCUAAGCAUGGAUGUGAGGACCAUUAAUAUUUUAUUUGGUCGCGUUUACCAGCUUGGAGAAUUCAUAAUUAUGAGGUGAAACUUCAUGGGCCUGUUAAUGUAACACAGCCAGCAGCAAGGGCAGUCUUUUAGCAGGUUGCCAGGGGAAGUGUUUGCAUUGCCUGUGUAGCUGCAGAGAAUGUGGCAUUCAUGUUGGGGGGUUUGUACUGCCAUUUGCUGUUGCAUUCAUCUCCUAUGGCUUGAUUUAUGGGAAGAUCACAACGAUACUAGGCAGUAGGUGGUUGGACAAUGUUGCAUCUACGUGGACCCUGUAUGUUGGAACAGUUGCAAUACCUGUGCAAAUGUCUGGUUGCCUAGCCGUGGAGUUUUCGAGUCCCAUGAAUCGAUAAUGAGGUUCAGCGGGUGUGGUUACUUCUCCACCUCAUGGUAAUAGCUUGUCCAUAAUAUUGUUUAAAUGCUAGUGUAUGAUGAGUCAUUUUUAUUUGCUACUCUUGACUUGUUUGGAUGACGAUAAACUUAACCACCAAAUGUAAUCUGAAAUUUGAGCUGAUUUAGUCGCAUUAUGAGUCGAUUGUCUGUCUUCUAAUUCUAGAUGUUUUGUUAUAGGUUUUGCAGAGCCUGGUUUCUCCUUCGUCUUGAGAUUUUACUGGCGAGAACUGUUUUCCGCAUUUUGGUCAAUACAAGUUUUUCGCUAA